rnacentral:rRNA from 1 species
GAACGGUAACAGGCCUUCGGGCGCUGACGAGUGGCGGACGGGUGAGUAACGCGUAGGAAUCUGCCUAGUAGUGGGGGACAACAUGUGGAAACGCAUGCUAAUACCGCAUACGCCCUACGGGGGAAAGCGAGGGAUCUUCGGACCUCGCGCUAUUAGAUGAGCCUGCGUUAGAUUAGCUAGUUGGUGGGUAAUGGCCUACCAAGGCGACGAUCUAUAGCUGGUCUGAGAGGACGAUCAGCCACACUGGGACUGAGACACGGCCCAGACUCCUACGGGAGGCAGCAGUGGGGAAUAUUGGACAAUGGGCGAAAGCCUGAUCCAGCAAUACCACGUGUGUGAAGAAGGCCUGAGGGUUGUAAAGCACUUUCAAUUGGGAGGAAAACAGCUGGGUUAAUAGCCCUGCUCUUGACAUUACCUUUAGAAGAAGCACCGGCUAACUCCGUGCCAGCAGCCGCGGUAAUACGGAGGGUGCGAGCGUUAAUCGGAAUUACUGGGCGUAAAGCCUACGUAGGCGGUUAUUUAAGUCAGAUGUGAAAGCCCCGGGCUCAACCUGGGAACUGCAUUUGAUACUGGAUAACUAGAGUUUGAUAGAGGAGAGUAGAAUUUCUGGUGUAGCGGUGAAAUGCGUAGAGAUCAGAAGGAAUACCAGUGGCGAAGGCGGCUCUCUGGAUCAAAACUGACGCUGAGGUACGAAAGCGUGGGUGGCAAACAGGAUUAGAUACCCUGGUAGUCCACGCCGUAAACGAUGUCAACUAGCCGUUGGGUCCAAUUAAGGACUUAGUGGUGCAGCUAACGCAUUAAGUUGACCGCCUGGGGAGUACGGCCGCAAGGCUAAAACUCAAAUGAAUUGACGGGGGCCCGCACAAGCGGUGGAGCAUGUGGUUUAAUUCGAUGCAACGCGAAGAACCUUACCUACCCUUGACAUACUAAGAACUUUCCAGAGAUGGAUUGGUGCCUUCGGGAGCCAAGACACAGG